UCCUGGUUCAAAGGUCCGCCGCCUGAGGAUGGGUCUGCGGCCGAUUAGGUAGUUGUUGGGGUAACGGCCCAACAAGCCUGUCAUCGGUACGGGUUGUGGGAGCAAGAGCCCGGAGAUGGAUUCUGAGACACGAAUCCAGGCCCUACGGGGCGCAGCAGGCGCGAAAACUUUACCAUGCGGGCAACCGUGAUAAGGAAACCCCGAGUGCCAGCACAGGCUGGCUGUCCACCAGUGUAAAUAACUGGUGAAGAAAGGGCCGGGCAAGACCGGUGCCAGCCGCCGCGGUAAUACCGGCGGCUCGAGUGGUGGCCGCUAUUACUGGGCUUAAAGGGUCCGUAGCUGGAUAUGCAAGUCCCUUGAGAAAUCCGCCGGCUUAACUGGCGGGCGUUCAGGGGAAACUGCAUUUCUAGGGACCGGGAGAGGUGAGAGGUACUGCCGGGGUAGGAGUGAAAUCCUGUAAUCCCGGUGGGACCACCUAUGGCGAAGGCAUCUCACCAGAACGGGUCCGACAGUGAGGGACGAAAGCUGGGGGAGCAAACCGGAUUAGAUACCCGGGUAGUCCCAGCUGUAAACGAUGCGCGUUAGGUGUGUCAGUGACCACGUGUCACUGAGAUGCCGAAGGGAAACCGUGAAACGCGCCGCCUGGGGAGUACGGUCGCAAGGCUGAAACUUAAAGGAAUUGGCGGGGGAGCACCACAACAGGUGGAGCCUGCGGUUUAAUCGGACUCAACGCCGGGAAUCUCACCGGAUAAGACAGCUGAAUGAUAGUCGGGAUGAAGACUCUACUUGACUAGCUGAGAGGAGGUGCAUGGCC
rnacentral:rRNA from 1 species